rnacentral:ncRNA from 1 species
UUUGACUCAACACGGGAAACCUCACCAGGCCUAGACAUCGGAAGGAUUGACAGCUCUAUCUUAAUUCGGUGGGUGGUGGUGCAUGGCCGCCGUUCUUAGUUAGUGCAGCGAUUUGUCUGGUUAAUUCCGAUAACGAACGAGACUCUAGUCUAUUAAUUAGGCCUAUUCUCGGCAUUUCAAAGGCGCGCUGAUCCGGCGUUCUCGUCGCGACCGUGUGCGGUUUUUACUGUCGGCGUACAAAUAAUUCUUGUAAGAGGGACAGGCGGCGUUUAGCCACACGAGAUUAAGCAAUAAUGCUGAACCUCCGUCCGUUUGU